rnacentral:rRNA from 1 species
UGGGGAAUCUUGGACAAUGGGGGCAACCCUGAUCCAGCGACGCCGCGUGGGUGAAGAAGGCCUUAGGGUUGUAAACCCCUUUCACCGGGGAGGAUGAUGACGUUACCCGGAGAAGAAGCACCGGCUAACUCCGUGCCAGCAGCCGCGGUAAGACGGAGGGUGCUAGCGUUGUUCGGAAUCACUGGGCGUAAAGGGCGCGUAGGCGGCCCGAUCAGUCAGAUGUGAAAGCCCAGGGCUCAACCCUGGAAUUGCAUUUGAUACUGUCGGGCUAGAGGUCGAAAGAGGAGAGUGGAAUACCCAGUGUAGAGGUGAAAUUCGUAGAUAUUGGGUGGAACACCAGUGGCGAAAGCGGCUCUCUGGUUCGAAUCUGACGCUGAGGCGCGAAAGCGUGGGGAGCAAACAGGAUUAGAUACCCCCGUAGUCC